rnacentral:rRNA from 1 species
GGGCCCGCACAAGCGGUGGAGUAUGUGGUUUAAUUCGAUGCAACGCGAAGAACCUUACCAGGGUUUGACAUCCUGCGAAUCUCUUGGAAACAGGAGAGUGCCUUCGGGAACGCAGUGACAGGUGGUGCAUGGCUGUCGUCAGCUCGUGUCGUGAGAUGUUGGGUUAAGUCCCGCAACGAGCGCAACCCACGUCUUUAGUUGCCAGCAUUUAGUUGGGCACUCUAGAGAGACUGCCGGUGAUAAACCGGAGGAAGGUGUGGAUGACGUCAAGUCAUCAUGCCCCUUACAUCCUGGGCUACAAACGUACUACAAUGCUACGGACAAAGAGCAGCAAGUUCGCGAGGACAAGCAAAUCUCAUAAACCGUGGCUCAGUUCAGAUCGUAGGCUGCAACUCGCCUACGUGAAGGAGGAAUCGCUAGUAAUCGCAGGU